AAGAUAAACACAUCAGCUGAAAGGAGUAAAAGUACAUGACUGAUUUAUGGAAAGUGCAAGAUGAAAACAUGAAAGAAAGCAAUGCACAGAAGGGGUUGCACAAUUUGACAAAGUGCUUCCAGCUACCAGCAGCUACACAGGAACCACUGUGUUGUAUUGCUCCAUGUCAGGGGCUUAAUCAGUGAAUGGUACAAGGACACAUGAAGGCUUAUCAAUAAAGGAAUGGCAUUUCUCAAUUAGUACAAACUGGAUGCAUCCUAUAUCCUCUUUUUCUAUACACAGGACAUAAGAUCGCCAGAGGGAUUCACAGUAUCGCAGUAUCACAGUAUCAUCAGGGUUGGAAGAGACCUC